CCUACGGGGGGCAGCAGUGAGGAAUAUUGGUCAAUGGGCUAAGGCCUGAACCAGCCAAGUCGCGUGAGGGAAGACGGUCCUCUGGAUUGUAAACCUCUUUUGUCGGGGAGCAACGAGGCCACGUGUGGCCGAAGUGAGAGUACCCGAAGAAAAAGCAUCGGCUAACUCCGGGCCAGCAGCCGCGGUAAUACGUAGGGGGCAAGCGUUAUCCGGAUUUACUGGGUGUAAAGGGAGCGUAGGCGGCGAUGCAAGUCAGAAGUGAAAGCCCGGGGCUCAACUCCGGGACUGCUUUUGAAACUGUGUUGCUAGAUUGCAGGAGAGGUAAGUGGAAUUCCUAGUGUAGCGGUGAAAUGCGUAGAUAUUAGGAGGAACACCAGUGGCGAAGGCGGCUUACUGGACUGUAAAUGACGCUGAGGCUCGAAAGCGUGGGGAGCAAACAGGAUUAGAUACCCCAGUAGUC
rnacentral:rRNA from 1 species